rnacentral:rRNA from 1 species
AUUGAACGCUGGCGGCAGGCUUAACACAUGCAGUCGAGCGGGGGAGGUUGCUUCGGUAACUGACCUAGCGGCGGACGGGUGAGUAAUGCUUAGGAAUCUGCCUAUUAGUGGGGGACAACAUUCCGAAAGGGAUGCUAAUACCGCAUACGCCCUACGGGGGAAAGCAGGGGAUCUUCGGACCUGGCGCUAAUAGAUGAGCCUAAGUCGGAUUAGCUAGUUGGUGGGGUAAAGGCCUACCAAGGCGACGAUCUGUAGCGGGUCUGAGAGGAUGAUCCGCCACACUGGGACUGAGACACGGCCCAGACUCCUACGGGAGGCAGCAGUGGGGAAUAUUGGACAAUGGGCGGAAGCCUGAUCCAGCCAUGCCGCGUGUGUGAAGAAGGCCUUUUGGUUGUAAAGCACUUUAAGCGAGGAGGAGGCUCUUAAGGUUAAUACCCUUGAUGAGUGGACGUUACUCGCAGAAUAAGCACCGGCUAACUCUGUGCCAGCAGCCGCCGUAAUAC